UAUUUUUUAAACGAAGAUCUUUUUUACUUGAAGAAACUUAAGGAUUUGGGCAUCCUAGGAUGUGCUGUGAGAUCGAAAGCAGUAGAAUUUUUGCCAUAGAUCAGAAGAGAGACGGUCACCCAGUGCUGCGGAAGCCCCUAGGUAGCUGAGAAGUUGAUGGAAUCUUCUUACUGGUGCAACUUUCACUAUUGCUUGUUGUUCGAGUGUGAGAUAAAGGUGAGCAGAAAAUUCUCGAGUGCACUGUUUACCUACAGCACACUGCGACUCGACUUCUGAAAGUUGAGAGAAACAGGUUUGCACAAUUGUUGUGUGUGACAUAGAAAAGACAUGUCAUCUGAUAACAGGAACAUAGCUUUUAUGCUAAUAAAAUGCUUUUAAAAUUA